rnacentral:rRNA from 1 species
UACGGAGGGGACUAGCGUUGUUCGGAAUUACUGGGCGUAAAGGGCGCGUAGGCGGCCAACUAAGUCGGAUGUGAAAUCCCCAGGCUCAACUUGGGAACUGCAUCCGAUACUGGAUGGCUUGAAUUCGGGAGAGGGAUGCAGAAUUCCAGGUGUAGCGGUGAAAUGCGUAGAUAUCUGGAGGAAUACCGGUGGCGAAGGCGGCAUCCUGGACCGACAUUGACGCUGAGGAGCGAAAGCUAGGGGAGCAAACGGG